rnacentral:rRNA from 1 species
GUGAACGCUGGCGGUAGGCCUAACCCCUGCAAGUCGAACGGCAGCACAGUAAGAGCUUGCUCUUACGGGUGGCGAGUGGCGGACGGGUGAGGAAUACAUCGGAAUCUACUUUUUCGUGGGGGAUAACGUAGGGAAACUUACGCUAAUACCGCAUACGACCUACGGGUGAAAGCAGGGGAUCUUCGGACCUUGCCCGAUUGAAUGAGCCGAUGUCGGAUUAGCUAGUUGGCGGGGUAAAGGCCCACCAAGGCGACGAUCCGUAGCUGGUCUGAGAGGAUGAUCAGCCACGCUGGAACUGAGACACGGUCCAGACUCCUACGGGAGGCAGCAGUGGGGAAUAUUGGACAAUGGGCGCAAGCCUGAUCCAGCCAUACCGCGUGGGUGAAGAAGGCCUUCGGGUUGUAAAGCCCUUUUGUUGGGAAAGAAAAGCAGCAGGUUAAUACCCCGCUGUUCUGACGGUACCCAAAGAAUAAGCACCGGCUAACUUCGUG